AUGCCAGUGAAAGAGCAUCGACUCUCCGGGGAACAGGGUAGCACCAUCCAUUUGAAGCGUAAGAAAACUGGAGUAGCAAAAGGACCUCUCCAUCCGGUCCAGAGAUUUACUGGAGCCGCUGAAUUGUUGUUCCUGCAGAAAGUGAGUCUCUGGGAGAACCCGGAAUCAGCCUUACUGCGAAUUAUCCAAGAACCUCUACAGAAUCAGUCUUGCUGGCAACUUUGUCUACCUGGAUCAGAUUCUGAAACUCUCUGGAGGAUUUCCUAAAGUCUGAGAUGGUCCCAAGGUGAGAGAGCCCUGGAUGGCAGAUGCAUUAAGCUGCUAUACAGGCAGCUCCGGGAGAACCAGUCUCAGCCAAUCUGAAAUCCCUUGGUAUUAUCUGUAUGGGUGUAUGACAUGCUUGAUUGUCCAGCCUCAAUCAGGAAUAAAUAAUGCCACGGAACUUUCCAGGUGACUGAAGCCUAAUUCAUUUAGUUGGAAAAUGAAUUUAACUCUUUGCAUGCUUGUCUUUCUAAAAGAGAGUAUGUUGACUAGAANNNNNNNNNNNNNNNNNNNNNNNNNNNNNNNNNNNNNNAUGCCGAGAAGAUGGGUGAUGUUCUGGGGUAUGAGUGAGGGCGGGUGGCAACCGUCUUUACCAGUGCCCCCAGUGGCUCCAGGAUCCAAGACCCCAAAUCUUUAUCCAAUGGGGCAAAUUUUUAUUGAGGCACACGAAUAUUUUCACGGAAGAGAAGUGUCUGAUUUAGGCUAAAUUAGAAUUAUUUUGGUAAUCCAUCCCAAAUAAAUUAACAUGGUGAUCAGUAUUGGAAGGGGGCGAAGAACCUCAUUCACUGUCCUUGCUGAGGGUCUCCCGGGCUGGCGUCUCUGCGGCAUCUUCUCCUUAAGGCGACAACGUGACGUGUGCAGCUGCACACUCGGGGCCAUCAUUCUGUAAAUCAAUUUUGGGAUCUUCUCUGGAGACCAAUGCAGCUGUUUUUUGUUUUUUGUUUUUUUUUUUGAAAUUUGCUGAUCUCUGUCGAGUGUGUGGUGUCUGACAUGCCUGCAGCCUGAGGCUGUGCCGAGGUGCUGUCCUUAUGCUGCAGAACCGUGUAGACUCAUACCCUCAUUUCUGGCUGCUUUUCUGCCUUCUCUGGGCCCAUUCUUUGAUGCCAUUUUGUGUUUCUCGCAUCAUCCUUCUUUUUUUUGUUUCUCAAUAUGUUCUGGCAUUUGCAUUAUGUGGAUUUGUUUCCAAUAUGUAAAAAUCUGUGUUCUGAUGAUACAUAUUUAUUGUUAAAAAACUGGAAAACAUUAAAGGGUUAAAGAAAGAAACUUUAAUUUCCUAUUACUGUGUGUAAUGUAAAUCCACAUGCAUAUACACACUGUAUAUUCAAUCUGUCCACUUUGUCAACAUUUGAAAACUGGACGCCGUUUAAACAUUCUACCAAGAGACCAGGUUGGAAGGAGAAGGCAGACGAUGAAGGAGGCGAUGAGAUAACCGAUCCUGACGCAGCGGCCCCGCUGUGCCAGCCCGUUCUGACGCCUCUUCGUUCAGUUCAUCUUCACUCUGUUCCUACGAUGCCUUCAUCCUGCGCCACAGAGAAGCUGUAGCACAGAGAGAGAAGGAACCGGCCCAAUGUUCUUAAAGCCUUUUCUUCCAUCAGUAAAUACUUCAUAAGCCAGAAGGAUGGAGCAGAAUUUCAUCACAUGAAUACAAUGUAACUUACGGUCAUUGUUCAACGUUUAGAUUGUUUCCAACUGGAGUAUCUUUCAGAUGCUGCUGCGACUUGACUUCUUUCCUUAUGAUGGACUUCGGGACAUACACUGAUGUGUCAAAGGGUGAAGAUUUUUAUGGCCCUUGACAUUGCCCCUUGCUUUCUAGAAACUCAGCGCCCGCAGUCCAUAGAUGGAAUGUGAGAGUCUACGCCUCAUUACAAAUAUCGACGUUUAAAUAUAUCUUUGUUAGUUUCAAAAGUUAAAAAAAAAAAAAAAUUCUUUUGAGGGCCACACCUGUGGCAUAUAGAAGUUUCCAGGCUAGAGGCUGAACUGGAGCUGCAGCUGCCAGCCUACACCAGGGCCACAGCAGCGCGGGACCCAAGCGGUGUCUGCGACCUGCGCCACAGCCACAGGAUCCUUAACUCACUGAACGGGGUCAGGGAUCGAACCCGCAUCCUCAUGGAUACUAGUCAGGUUCGUAACCCACUGAGCCACAAUGGGAACUCCAAAAUAGCAUUAUUUUAGUUAUUUUCAUUUAGUAAAAAAGACUUUGUUGUUGUCGUUGCCCCUCAGCGGGUCGCUCACAGCACUUCUCUGCUCUUCUCCGACGAGGAAACAGAGCGAGCGACUCAAAUCGACCGUGGUGCCUGGGACCUUCCCACUGUUACUCUUGGUGAACUUUGUCCUUGUUUACGCUUCAGGACCACUGAUUCACUGCCAGGAUGCAUAUUUGACGCAUGUGUGCACAGAGUACCCAGUAGUAAAACCCAAUGACAGAACUCCCUAGGCAGCUGGGUCACGCUAUAUUAGCAAAUUUGAUCUGCAUUCUAGUUGGCGUUAGAACAGGAAGACAAAACAAGCAAGCAAGCUAGGCAAUAAACACUGUACUCUGAG
ensembl:lncRNA